rnacentral:rRNA from 1 species
UCCUACGGGAGGCAGCAGUGAGGAAUAUUGGUCAAUGGGCGAGAGCCUGAACCAGCCAAGUAGCGUGCAGGAAGACGGCCCUAUGGGUUGUAAACUGCUUUUGUAUGGGGAUAAAGUCAGUCACGUGUGAUUGUUUGCAGGUACCAUACGAAUAAGGACCGGCUAAUUCCGUGCCAGCAGCCGCGGUAAUACGGAAGGUCCGGGCGUUAUCCGGAUUUAUUGGGUUUAAAGGGAGCGUAGGCUGGAGAUUAAGUGUGUUGUGAAAUGUAGACGCUCAACGUCUGACUUGCAGCGCAUACUGGUUUCCUUGAGUACGCACAACGUUGGCGGAAUUCGUCGUGUAGCGGUGAAAUGCUUAGAUAUGACGAAGAACUCCGAUUGCGAAGGCAGCUGACGGGAGCGCAACUGACGCUGAAGCUCGAAGGUGCGGGUAUCGAACAGGAUUAGAUACCCUGGUAGUCCGCACAGUAAACGAUGGAUGCCCGCUGUUGGUACCUGGUAUCAGCGGCUAAGCGAAAGCAUUAAGCAUCCCACCUGGGGAGUACGCCGGCAACGGUGAAACUCAAAGGAAUUGACGGGGGCCCGCACAAG